rnacentral:rRNA from 1 species
GUGUCAGCAGCCGCGGUAAUACGUAGGGUGCGAGCGUUAAUCGGAAUUACUGGGCGUAAAGGGUGCGCAGGCGGUUCCGCAAGUCAGGCGUGAAAUCCCCGGGCUUAACCUGGGAAUGGCGCUUGAAACUACGGGACUAGAGUGUGGCAGAGGGAGGUGGAAUUCCACGUGUAGCGGUGAAAUGCGUAGAGAUGUGGAGGAACACCGAUGGCGAAGGCAGCCUCCUGGGUCAACACUGACGCUCAUGCACGAAAGCGUGGGGAGCAAACAGGAUUAGAUACCCCCGUAGUCC